UACGGGGGGGGCGAAGCGUUGUCCGGAUUUACUGGGCGUAAAGAGCGCGCAGGCGGUCGUGCAAGUCGCGUGUGAAAGCCCCCGGCUCAACUGGGGAGGGUCACUCGAUACUGAUCGACUUGAAGGCAGGAGAGGGAAGCGGAAUUCCCGGUGUAGUGGUGAAAUGCGUAGAUAUCGGGAGGAACACCAGUGGCGAAGGCGGCUUCCUGGCCUGUUCUUGACGCUGAGGCGCGAAAGCUAGGGGAGCAAACGGG
rnacentral:rRNA from 1 species